rnacentral:rRNA from 1 species
ACCGGCAAACGGGUGCGGAACACGUACAGAACCUUCCUUCGAGCGGGGAAUAGCCCAGAGAAAUUUGGAUUAAUACCCCAUAGGAUAGUGGAGUGGCAUCACUCAGCUAUUAAAGAUUUAUCACUUGAAGAUGGCUGUGCGUCUGAUUAGGUAGUUGGCGGGGUAACGGCCCACCAAGCCUGCGAUCAGUAACUGGUGUGAGAGCACGACCAGUCACACGGGCACUGAGACACGGGCCCGACUCCUACGGGAGGCAGCAGUAAGGAAUAUUGGUCAAUGGACGCAAGUCUGAACCAGCCAUGCCGCGUGGAGGAUGAAGGUCCUCUGGAUUGUAAACUUCUUUUAUCUGGGACGAAAAAAGGCCUUUCUAGGUCGACUGACGGUACCAGAUGAAUAAGCACCGGCUAACUCCGUGCCAGCAGCCGCGGUAAUACGGAGGGUGCAAGCGUUAUCCGGAUUCACUGGGUUUAAAGGGUGCGUAGGCGGGCAUGUAAGUCCGUGGUGAAAUCUCCGAGCUUAACUCGGAAACUGCCAUGGAUACUAUGUGUCUUGAAUGUUGUGGAGGUGAGCGGAAUAUGUCAUGUAGCGGUGAAAUGCUUAGAUAUGACAUAGAACACCAAUUGCGAAGGCAGCUCACUACACAAAUAUUGACGCUGAGGCACGAAAGCGUGGGGAUCAAACAGGAUUAGAUACCCUGGUAGUCCACGCCCU